AGGAGAGAGAAUUCGAGCAUGAUAGGCACCAAUACAAGUGAAAGACAGCACAGUCGGUAAUUGACGCUUCGUAUCUGCUGCAGAAACAUGCAGUCAUCAAAGAUAUGCCCCCGCCAGCUUCGGAUUGAUAACACAUCUGAUUUCCUGGCUCAUGUUCCUUACCGUAAACACCCUGGAAUCCUAAACCUGAAAGUUGUUCGACUGCCAAAGGAGGUUCAGGAUGCGGCAAAGGUUUUGAAACAAAGUAGCACCAUUAGAGAUCUACAAGGGCACAAUAACUCCCUAAACAAUUAUCUUUGGAGUCGUCAAUGCCCAGCUGAGGACAAGGACUUGAGAGUCCGGGCUGAAGAACUGGAGAAGAAGUUUAGUGCCUCUGUGGGUGGUGAUGCAGCUACACUGAAGAACUGGGUCUGGUUUAUUUUGCCGCUCGCUUUGAUGGAGGAUAUGCAGCAGUAACCCGAGCUUUUAAAGAGAUACAUCAGCAUUGCCCAGAAUUCAAGCCUCAAACAUUGCUGGAUUUUGGCUCUGGUACUGGUUCAGUUACAUCGUGAGAGCAAGCUAUCAUUUAUUAUUUUUAGGGCAGCAAGCAAUCUCUGGGGUAAAAGUGUGGCUGAAUAAAUGUGUGUACAUAAUGCUGCACCCAUGAAUAAACUCAGUGAACUGGUACUAAAAGGUGGCUCAGAUUCUGCUACACUGAAGAACUGGGUCUAGUUUAUUUUGCCGCUCGCUUUGAUGGAGGAUAUGCAGCAGUAACCCGAGCUUUUAAAGAGAUACAUCAGCAUUGUCCAGAAUUCAAGCCUCAAACAUUGCUGGAUUUUGGCUCUGGUACUGGUUCAGUUACAUCGUGAGAGCAAGCUAUCAUUUAUUAUUUUUAGGGCAGCAAGCAAUCUCUGCGGUAAAAGUCUGGCUGAAUAAAUGUGUGUACAUAAUGCUGCACCCAUGAAUAAACUCAGUGAACUGGUUCUAAAAGGUGGCUCAGAUUCUGGUGAGAUGCAUAUCUCUGGAGUUUACUUCUGACAGUUUUUGCCACUUUCACCUAAAGUACACUGUGUUUUUAUCAGUGGGUGAUUAGCGAAUCAUACUCUUAGGGCCAUGUCACACGGGGACAUUUGUAGCAAAGAUUAAACUGUGGGGGCCAAACAAGAAUUACCAUUGAAUAACAUUAGGACCAGAAUUACGAUUGAAGCAAAACUUUGCGGCAAUCCAGAUUAAUUAUGGGAAAUGUGAAGGGAGACUAUUUGCUGUGGGAUUACCAUGAGUACUAAGUUUUACUUGCAACAAUUUAAUGUUAUUCAAUAAGAAGUCUUUUUCGGAAGAUUUUUUGCCAGCGGUAGUGAAGAUUUAGCCUCGGGUGACAAAUCUCCCCAUGUGCCGUAUGAUCUCGUAGUCUCUGCCUUCUCAUUAUAUGGUCUUCCAAGUCUGUCUGAAUGGGAGAAAAUCAUUCAAGCUUUGUGGAGUAAUACAGGAGGCUUUCUGGUUUGUUUAAUCAUUCCAUCCACAGUCCUGAAGAUGCUCUCUUAAAUAAAUAAUGUAUCAUUAUACGUAAAUACAUGUUAAUAAUAAAAUAAUAAUAAUAAGAUGUUCAGGGCUUAUAAUAAAUGGUAAAUCAACAAAAUGGUUAAUAAGGACACACUAGAUUUGUGUGGUGCCAGUAUAGAAUAUUUUACUGUACUGUAAUGUAA